CCUGCGGAAGGAUCAUUAAAAGAAUCUGUGCCCUGCUUUAUUGCAAGUUCAGAGCUACAAUUCUAACCCACUCUGCGUACAAAUUUCCAUGUUGCUCCCGUGGGGUGUGGCUUAGGUCUCACCCUGUGCCUGCGAAAGGUAGGUGUUCGCGGGAGGUCCCCCCACAGUACCUCCGAUAACCAUUUCCGGUUAGGUACUGUGGGGGUUUGUUUAACGAAACGAGGUCUACUUUAAUUUAAUUGAAGGGCCCACAAAGUAUGUCUGAUCUUUAGUUUCUGUGGGUGUGUUACGUAUGUGCACGCACGCAAAAAGAACAACAAUAGUUAAAACUUUCAACAACGGAUCUCUUGGUUCUCGCAUCGAUGAAGAACGCAGCGAAAUGCGAUAAGUAGUGUGAAUUGCAGAAUUCAGUGAAUCAUCGAAUCUUUGAACGCACAUUGCGCCUUCCGGUACUCCGGGAGGCAUGCCUGUUCGAGCGCCAGGAGGAAGAUUGCAAGCUUCGCCGGACAAAGUUGCUUGGUUCUGAAGGUCAAGUGUUGCUCACAUGCCCAUUUGCCUUCCAAAUUCACAGGCGGAUGACUUCGUGUUCCUUUCAGCGUUAUAGGAUAACUCUUUCGCUUGGACUCGGGAGUUGGUCCUGCCCUAAACCCCCCAAUUAUUAUGACCCCGUUGGCCACGAAUCAGGUAGGGAUACCCGCUGAACUUAAGCAUAUCAAUAAGCGGAGG
rnacentral:rRNA from 1 species